rnacentral:rRNA from 1 species
AUAUCAAUAAACGAAGGAGCAUAACAAUA